rnacentral:misc_RNA from 1 species
GACGAACCAAGCGAACGUUAUUCGGAAUUACUGGGCUUAAAGCGCGUGUAGGCGGACUACCACGUUGGUUGUUGAAAUCCCCCGGCUUAACCGGGGAACUGGCACCAAUACGAGUAGUCUGGAGGUGGGUAGGGGAGACUGGAACUUCCGGUGGAGCAGUGAAAUGCGUUGAGAUCGGAAGGAACGCCCGCGGCGAAAGCGAGUCUCUGGACCCAUACUGACGCUGAGACGCGAAAGCCAGGGGAGCAAACGGG